AAUGUUCACUACUGUAAGUCGCUCUGGAUAAAAGCGUCUGCUAAAUUACUAAAA
rfam:Salmo salar isolate Sally breed double haploid chromosome ssa01, whole genome shotgun sequence.